AAAAGACUUAGUCCCAACCUUACUGUUGGUUGUUGCUAGGAUUACACAUGCGAGUAUCCGCGUUCCAGUGUAGAUGCCCUGGACACCCUGAUUCCCCAUCAGGUAGAUAGGAGCGGGUAUCAGGCACACCUUCAACUGUAGCCCAAGACGCCUUGCAAUUGCCACACCCCCACGGGUAUUCAGCAGUGGUUAACAUUAAGCAAUGAGUGAAAACUUGACUUAGCCAUAGCAAUCAUCCAGGGCCGGUAAAUCCUGUGCCAGCCACCGCGGUCAUACAGGAGGCCCAAAUUAACAGUAUAACGGCGUAAAGUGUGGUAACAUGCUAUCCAAGUAACUAAGAUUAAAAAGCAACUGAGCCGUCACAAGCCCAUGUCGCCCGUAAGGCCACUUACUUAAAGAAAAUCUUAGACCAACGAUUAAUUGAAAUCCACGAAAGCCAGGGCCCAAACUGGGAUUAGAUACCCCACUAUGCCUGGCCCUAAAUCUUGAUGCUUAAUAUAACCCAAGCAUCCGCCCGAGAACUACGAGCACAAACGCUUAAAACUCUAAGGACUUGGCGGUGCUCCAAACCCACCUAGAGGAGCCUGUUCUGUAAUCGAUGAUCCACGAUAUUACCUGACCAUUUCUCGCCAGUUCAGCCUGCAUACCGCCGUCGCCAGCCCACCUCCUCUGAAAGCCCAACAGUGAGCGCAAUAGCCUAACCCGCUAGCAAGACAGGUCAAGGUACAGCCUAUGGAAUGGAAGCAAUGGGCUACAUUUUCUAGUUUAGAACAUACGGCAAAGGGACCUGAAACGAUCCCUAGAAGGCGGAUUUAGCAGUAAAGUGGGACAAUUGAGCCCUCUUUAAGCCGGCUCUGGAGCACGUACAUACCGCCCGUCACCCUCCUCAAAAGCGAACCAAACCCCCCCCAUAAAUAAUAAGAUACUCAGCUGAAGAUGAGGCAAGUCGUAACAAGGUAAGUGUACCGGAAGGUGUACUUAGACUACC
rnacentral:ncRNA from 1 species